GAGGCUGUAGUUCAAAGUUCUCCAACUUCGUAGUUCAACGUUGGGAGUGUCGUCAAGGAACUGAGCCUACUAACUCUACCAUAAAUACACAUUUCUUUUUUUUCCCACAGAUACUUCUAGACUUCUUUGGGGCGUCUUUUUGCCAGAUUGUUUUCCAAACGCUUCAGGGAAUGUGAAAUGUCUUUGGGGACUCUGAGAUGACGGUCCUUCAAU